rnacentral:rRNA from 1 species
GACGAACGCUGGCGGCGUGCUUAACACAUGCCAGUCGAACGCUGAAGCUUGGUGCUUGCACUGGGUGGAUGAGUGGCGAACGGGUGAGUAAUAAGUGAGUAACCUGCCCUUGACUCUGGGAUAAGCCUGGGAAACUGGGUCUAAUACUGGAUACGACAUGUCACCGCAUGGUGGUGUGUGGAAAGGGUUUUACUGGUUUUGGAUGGGCUCACGGCCUAUCAGCUUGUUGGUGGGGUAAUGGCUCACCAAGGCGACGACGGGUAGCCGGCCUGAGAGGGUGACCGGCCACACUGGGACUGAGACACGGCCCAGACUCCUACGGGAGGCAGCAGUGGGGAAUAUUGCACAAUGGGCGGAAGCCUGAUGCAGCGACGCCGCGUGAGGGAUGACGGCCUUCGGGUUGUAAACCUCUUUCAGCACGGAAGAAGCGAAAGUGACGGUACGUGCAGAAGAAGCGCCGGCUAACUACGUG